rnacentral:rRNA from 1 species
AUUGAACGCUGGCGGCAUGCUUUACACAUGCAAGUCGAACGGCAGCGCGGGCUUCGUCCUGGCGGCUAGUGGCGAACGGGUGAGUAAUACAUCGGAACGUGCCCAGUAUUGGUGGAUAGCUCGGCGAAAGCCGGAGUAAUACCGCAUACGACCUGAGGGUGAAAGCGGGGGAUCGUCGGACCUCGCGCUAUUGGAGGGGCCGAUUGCAGAUUAGCUAGUUGGUGGGGUAAAGGCCUACCAAGGCGACGAUCUGUAGCUGGUCUGAGAGGACGACCGGCCACACUGGGACUGAGACACGGCCCAGACUCCUACGGGAGGCAGCAGUGGGGAAUGUUGGACAAUGGGCGAAAGCCUGAUCCAGCAAUGCCGCGUGUGUGAUGAAGGCCUUCGGGUUGUAAAGAACUUUUGGCGGGAACGAAAAGGACUGUGCCAAUACCACGGUUGGAUGACGGUACCCGCAGAAUAAGCACCGGCUAACUACGUG